rnacentral:rRNA from 1 species
UACGGAGGAGCUAGCGUUGUUCGGAAUUACUGGGCGUAAAGCGCACGUAGGCGGCUUUAAGUCAGGGUGAAUCCCGGGCUCAACCCGGAACUGCCUUGAACUGGAGAGCUAGAAUCUUGGAGAGGCGAGUGGAAUUCCGAGUGUAGAGGUGAAAUUCGUAGAUAUUCGGAAGAACACCAGUGGCGAAGGCGACUCGCUGGACAAGUAUUGACGCUGAGGUGCGAAAGCGUGGGGAGCAAACAGG